GCCUGGAGUUGAACCGGGGCCUUCUCGCUGUGAGGCGAGAGCGCUAACCACUGCGCCACCGUACAGCCCACGGUUAAACAGAUGGGCUAAUUCCAUCCUACAACUGAUAUUGUAAAGAUUUUUUUUCCAUUUCUUUAAACAUUGAUGCUUUUUACCCAGCAGAAAAAUUACAGGCAACUUCCAGCCAAACAAGCUGCCUCUGAAAUUCUUGGCGCAAACCCUGUGCAGAGCUCUUCAAUGGAAGAGGAGGUCACGGCUCUUAGGAGAGAAAAUAAGACUCCUGGAGCAACUAAGCGUGUCUUCUUCAACCGCAGAAGACCUCAGAGCCCAAGUCACAUCAUUGAAAAAAGAAAUCAGCAGGCUGCACAAAAUGGCAAGAAUAAUUUUGCAAGAAAUUGAUUUGAUAAAAUAUUUUUGUUUUUUUCCUUUUGUGGCUUUCUUUAAUUUUAAUUCUUAUCAUUAAUUGUGUGCAGUUCAUGUCGGAAGACUUCACACAAGCUGCUCUCUGUUGGGGGAAACAAACCCAUCCUACACCUCCCAAACCAGCAUCAGUAUAAUCUUCUUCAAUCACCUUCUUACACUUCAUUAGGUGCCACUAGGGACUGAUGGAGAUGUGAGGGUGUCGGCCCAUUGCUGGGAAACUGCUAGGGCCCAAGCGACUGCCAAAGGGAUGGCGCGGACCUGUCUGCUCGGCCGUUUCAGUGUUGAGGUCCUCCUUAAGUCCAACCUUAUGGGAGGGCAGAACAAGGUUGAACCUUCGGCCGAGCGACGUCUGGCUCUGGACCCCCAGAAGUUAAAGGCUCUGCUUGAUGUGGUUAUCCAGCACCAUCCAGAGGCAAAGGUGGCUGAGAUAAGGGCAAGCAUAAAUCAAAAAAUCUGCGAACUCCGGCACCAAGAGAAAAAUAAUACGAUCCACAGUCAUUUCUUAAAAAUGUAACAUUUCUUAGAAGUUUUAAGCUACAUUUUUAGUUUGAAUUUAAAAUUGUUUUGUGUUUUUUAUUUGAAUAAAAUUCAGAAAUUCA